rnacentral:rRNA from 1 species
UACGGGGGGGGCAAGCGUUGUUCGGAAUUACUGGGCGUAAAGGGCUCGUAGGCGGCCAACUAAGUCGGACGUGAAAUCCCCAGGCUCAACCUGGGAACUGCGUCCGAUACUGGAUGGCUUGAAUCCGGGAGAGGGAUGCAGAAUUCCAGGUGUAGCGGUGAAAUGCGCAGAUAUCAGGAGGAACACCGGUGGCGAAGGCGGAUCUCUGGGCCUGUCCUGACGCUCAGGCGCGAAAGCUAGGGGAGCAAACAGG